ACCAGACUCCUACGGGAGGCAGCAGUGGGGAAUAUUGCACAAUGGGGGAAACCCUGACGCAGCGACGCCGCGUGAGCGAUGAAGUAUUUCGGUAUGUAAAGCUCUAUCAGCAGGGAAGAAAAUGACGGUACCUGACUAAGAAGCCCCGGCUAACUACGUGCCAGCAGCCGCGGUAAUACGUAGGGGGCAAGCGUUAUCCGGAUUCACUGGGUGUAAAGGGAGCGUAGACGGCGAUGCAAGCCAGAUGUGAAAGCCCGGGGCUCAACCCCGGGACUGCAUUUGGAACUGUAUAGCUAGAGUGUCGGAGAGGCAGGCGGAAUUCCUAGUGGAGCGGUGAAAUGCGUAGAUAUUAGGAGGAACACCAGUGGCGGAGGCGGCCUGCUGGACGAUGGCUGACGUUGAGGCUCGAAAGCGUGGGGAGCAAACAGGAGUAGAUACCCCAGUACCU
rnacentral:rRNA from 1 species